ACCGGCGCACGGGUGAGUAACACGUGGACAAUUUGCCCUUGAGUCUGGGAUAACCCGUCGAAAGACGAGCUAAUACCGGAUAAGACCACAGGAAGUUCGCUUCCAGAGGUAAAAGAUGGCCUCUGCUCCUGCAAGCUAUCACUCAUCGAAAAGUUCGCGGCCUAUCAGCUAGUUGGUGAGGUAACGGCCCACCAAGGCUAAGACGGGUAGCUGGUCUGAGAGGAUGGUCAGCCACACUGGGACUGAGACACGGCCCAGAGUCCUACGGGAUGCAGCAGUCAGGAAUAUUGCGCAAUGGAGGAAACUCUGACGCAGCGACGCCGCGUGGGUGAUGAAGGCCUUCGGGUCGUAAAGCCCUGUCGGAGGGGAAGAAAAGCGGUCUGGCUAAUAUCCAGGCCGCUCUUGACGGUACCCUCAAAGGAAGCACCGGCUAACUCCGUGCCAGCAGCCGCGGUAAGACGGAGGGUGCAAGCGUUGUUCGGAUUGACUGGGCGUAAAGGGCGUGUAGGCGGUUGGUCAAGUCUGGUGUGAAAGCCCGGGGCUCAGCUCCGGAAGUGCAUCGGA
rnacentral:rRNA from 1 species